rnacentral:rRNA from 1 species
GUAGGUGGCAAGCGUUGCCCGGAAUUAUUGGGCGUAAAGCGCGCGCAGGCGGUCCUUUAAGUCUGAUGUGAAAGCCCACGGCUCAACCGUGGAGGGUCAUUGGAAACUGGAGAACCUGAGUACAGAAGAGGAAAGCGGAAUUCCACGUGUAGCGGUGAAAUGCGUAGAGAUGUGGAGGAACACCAGUGGCGAAGGCGGCUUUCUGGUCUGUAACUGACGCUGAGGCGCGAAAGCGUGGGGAGCAAACAGGAUUAGAUACCCUGGUAGUCCACGCCGUAAACGAUGAGUGCUAAGUGUUAGGGGGUAUCCGCCCCUUAGUGCUGCAGCUAACGCAUUAAGCACUCCGCCUGGGAGUACGGCCGCAAGGCUG